UCGUUUGAUAUUGCAAGGUAUAGUGCUAGAAAGUAUCAUUAGGCUUGAAUAACAGCAUAAAUAAUGUUACAUAAAAGUUUGCUAGAGCAAUUAUUUGAUAUUGAUACUAAACAGGAAGCAUGUCUCAUUUAGUUAUCAGUUGUUAUGAGUCUGGACAGCCAUGACACAAAUACUGCUGGGUCUGAUACGAAAAAGACACUAAGUUAUGCAGCUGAUGCGUCAAAGCUACAUGUUGAAGAAAAGAAGUACUCAUUCUACAAAAGAUGGCCAUGAUGCUGAAAAAAUAGGUUUUGGAGAGGCAACACAGGAAAGUGUUCAUCAACCGAAAAGGACUGCAAAGAUUCAUGACUUCUGUUUAGGCAUCCCCUUUGGGUUCUGAUGGAGGACUGAAGCUGUAUUGUGGUAUUGCAGCUGAUGGAUCUGUGGUGAUCACUGAUGAUCUACAAGUCUUAAAAUAGGGUUGUGCCAAAUCCUUUGCUCCCUUUCCAACAGGUAGCACACAUGAUUGGGGUUCAGAUCUGAAAGAUGAUUUCUUUACGAUUAAUUUGAUGUUAUGCAUGUAUAGAUUCCUUUAGGCUUUAGCUUUGCUGUACAUGUUCUGCUCCUUUUGUAGAUGCAUAUCCUUCGUAGUUCACAAUACCCACUUACCCACCACAACAGUGAUUUUGGAUUCCCAACACUUAACAAAGGAUUAGUCCUGUCUAUGGUAUGCACUGGUACACAAUAUAAGGGCCCUUAUAAUCUAUGAGUCUUAUGAAUAUAUUCAUUAUAUACUAAGAGCACACAUUAAAAAUGAACGUAAAUAUAUUACAGUGCAAACAAAUAAUUACGCAUCUAU